UACGUAGGGUGCAAGCGUUAAUCGGAAUUACUGGGCGUAAAGCGUGCGCAGGCGGUUUUGUAAGUCUGUCGUGAAAUCCCCGGGCUCAACCUGGGAAUUGCGAUGGAGACUGCAAGGUUAGAAUCUGGCAGAGGGGGGGUAGAAUUCCACGUGUAGCAGUGAAAUGCGUAGAGAUGUGGAGGAACACCGAUGGCGAAGGCAGCCCCCUGGGUCGACACUGACGCUCAUGCACGAAAGCGUGGGGAGCAAACAGG
rnacentral:rRNA from 1 species